UGCGUAGGCGGAUUGAUAAGUCAGUGGUGAAAACCUUCAGCUUAACUGGAGACUUGCCAUUGAUACUGUUAGUCUUGAGUACGGUCGAGGUAGGCGGAAUGUGUAAUGUAGCGGUGAAAUGCUUAGAUAUUACACAGAACACCGAUUGCGAAGGCAGCUUACUGGGCCAUUACUGACGCUGAGGCACGAAAGCGUGGGGAGCGAACAGGAUUAGAUACCCUGGUAGUCC
rnacentral:rRNA from 1 species